rfam:Erysipelothrix rhusiopathiae str. Fujisawa DNA, complete genome.
UGUGAUACAAUUUCAGUAGAACCCUUUAGUUCUGGGUUUAAUUCGAAUGUUUCACACUUUAGCGAGGCAUGAAACGAUUCGAUAGGAGCAUUAUCAGCGG